AAGGGUAAAGAUGGCUUCGGCUGUCGCUUCAGGAUUGGCUCGCGGCCUAUCAGCUUGUUGGGGGUAAAGGCUUACCAAGGCGACGAUCCAUAGCUGGUUUGAGAGAAUGAUCAGCCACACUGGGACUGAGACACGGCCCAG
rnacentral:rRNA from 1 species